rnacentral:rRNA from 1 species
CAAUAGCGUAUAUUUAAGUUGUUGCAGUUAAAAAGCUCGUAGUUGGAUUUCGGGUGGGACGCAGCGGUCUCGCAAUGCGUUUGUACUGCUGCAGCCCUCCUUCUUGCCGGGGGCGGCCUCUCGGACUUCACUGUCUGGGGGUCAGAAUCGGCGAUGUUACUUUGAGUAAAUUAGAGUGUUCAAAGCAAGCUUACGCUCUGAAUAUAAUAGCAUGGGAUAACACGACAGGACUCUGGCCUAUCGUGUUGGUCUAUAGGACCAGAGUAAUGAUUAAGAGGGACAGUCGGGGGCAUUCGUAUUCCGUUGUCAGAGGUGAAAUUCUUGGAUUUACGGAAGACGAACAUCUGCGAAAGCAUUUGCCAAGGAUGUUUNCAUUGA